CAAGAAUUGCCGAAAGACUCCUAAACCAUUGUGAACUUAUCCUAACCGUUGCUUCGGCGGGCGGCUCCCUCACGGGGUUCUCCCGGCGCCCCUGGCCCUCAGGCGGUCAGGGCAGCCCGCCGGAGGUCACCAAACUCUUGAUAUUAUAGUGGCCUCUCUGAGUCUUCUUAACUGAAUAAGUCA
rnacentral:misc_RNA from 1 species